rnacentral:misc_RNA from 1 species
AAAAAGUAGAUAAUGCGCGGCCUUUGUCGUAACUGAAGCCACAAAACUCGGCUCAUUCAAGUAAACACAUGCGCUCACGCACACAUAUGCAUCAAACUACGCUCAUUUUCGUCAGUAUCUCACGGGGCCUCGUACAGUAAUUAUGCCUACAAAAUGCCGUUUUUGUGUAAUUAAAUGGUACAAAAACAAUACCAAAGUGAAUAAAAAGUCUGAAGAAAUAUCGUUUAACACGUAAGUACAUACAAAACUUUAUAUUUCUUGUUAUUCCAAAAUAAUAUUGAGGUUAUUCGGAACUUAUAAUUUCCAUGUCCCGAAAUGACGUACCGAGGGAGUGUUACCUGUAAUUCUUAUUUCCAUUAGCCCAAAAUGCGGGUCCUACCCUAGGAGUCUAAAUCAGUCGUUAACCAAGAUUCAAUCUUUGAUACACCUAGAAAACAUAAACUAAGAGAAAGGUUAAAAAAACAGGAACUUUAUUCAAAAAAAAAUGUAAAAAAAUUAAAUCAUUACAGCAAAGAGUUAGGCGUUUUUAAAACAGGAACUUGCCUCAGAGGAAUCAUCAAUUACUUAAAAACGCAAUUUUCAUUGACAAAGAUUUAUAUAAUUCAUUAAAUCAAAACAUGGCUGCAAUAGAUUUAUUUAACAGUUUGAAGCAAAAAA